rnacentral:rRNA from 1 species
UACGGAGGAUGCGAGCGUUAUCCGGAUUUAUUGGGUUUAAAGGGUGCGUAGGCGGGCUGUUAAGUCAGCGGUAAAAUUGCGGGGCUCAACCCCGUCGAGCCGUUGAAACUGGCGGCCUUGAGUAGGCGAGAAGUGUGCGGAAUGCGUGGUGUAGCGGUGAAAUGCAUAGAUAUCACGCAGAACUCCGAUUGCGAAGGCAGCACGCCGGCGCCUUACUGACGCUGAAGCACGAAAGCGUGGGUAUCGAACAGC